GGGGAUGUAGCUCAAAUGGUAGAGCGCACGCUUAGCAUGCGUGAGGCAGUGGGAUCGAUGCCCACCUUCUCCA
rnacentral:tRNA from 1 species